GUGGGGAAUAUUGGACAAUGGGCGCAAGCCUGAUCCAGCCAUGCCGCGUGAGUGAUGAAGGCCUUAGGGUUGUAAAGCUCUUUCAGUGGGGACGAUAAUGACGGUACCCACAGAAGAAGCCCCGGCUAACUUCGUGCCAGCAGCCGCGGUAAUACGAGGGGGGCUAGCGUUGUUCGGAUUUACUGGGCGUAAAGCGCACGUAGGCGGCUCGUUAAGUCGGGGGUGAAAUCCUGGAGCGCAACUCCAGAAGUGACUUGGAUACUGGAGAUCUUGAGUACGGAAGAGGUGAGUGGAACUCCUAGUGUAGAGGUGGAAUUCGUAGAUAUUAGGAAGAACACCAGUGGCGAAGGCGGCUCGCUGGUCCGGUACUGACGCUGAGGUGCGAAAGCGUGGGGAGCAAACAGGAUUAGAAACCCUAGUAGUCC
rnacentral:rRNA from 1 species